UAACAUUUUCAGGAAUAAAGAAAAGCAUCAUCAAAAGAAACAAUCAAAUUCGACCCUUCGUUUCAGCAAUUAUACCAAAUCCCUUUAUCGACUCUGUUCAAAAAAGUUUUCAUCUUUCAACACAUCGACAUGGCUACUGCAUCAGUUGGGUUUAAGUCAAGAGAAGAGCAUCGGAAGAAGCAAGAAUUGGAGGAAGCGCGUAAAGCUGGGCUUGCUCCAGCUGAGAUUGAUGAGGAAGGCAAAGCGAUUAACCCUCACAUACCUCAGUACAUGUCAUCUGCUCCGUGGUAUCUUAAUGCUGAGAAACCUAGCUUGAAACAUCAGAGGAAUUGGAAAUCUGAUCCUAACUAUACGAAGUCGUGGUAUGAUAGAGGAGUGAGAACGUUCAAGGCAGACAAGUAUAGGAAAGGAGCUUGUGAAAACUGUGGGGCUAUGACACAUAGCACAAAGUUGUGUAUUGAAAGGCCAAGAAAGAUAGGAGCAAAGUGGACUAAUAAGCAUAUAUCCCCUGAUGAAAAGAUUGAGUCUUUUAAACUUGAUUAUGAUGGGAAAAGGGAUAGAUGGAACGGUUACGAUAUGAAUCAAUAUGCUCGAGUAAUUGAGAGGUAUGAGGCUAGGGAUGAAGCGAGAAGGAAGUUCUUGAAAGAGCAGCAACUGAAAAAGUUGGAAGAGAAGAGUAAAAAGCAGCGUGUGGAUGAAAAGUCUAGUGAUGAUGAUGAAGAAGAAGAAGAUGCUCUGAAACUUGAUGAAGCCAAAGUUGAUGAGAGCAAGCAAAUGGACUUUGCUAAAGUAGAGAAACGUGUCAGAACAACAGGUGGUGGCAGCACAGGAACUGUUAGGAAUUUGCGUAUACGUGAAGACACUGCAAAAUAUCUUCUGAAUCUUGAUGUCAAUUCUGCGUAUUAUGAUCCCAAAACCCGGUCUAUGCGUGAAGAUCCUCUUCCAAACGCCGAUCCAAAUGAGAAGUUCUAUGCAGGAGACAAUCAAUACAGAAUGACUGGUCAAGCCCUAGACUUCAAGAAGCUCAAUGUUCACGCGUGGGAAUCAUUUGAGAAAGGCCAAGUGGAGAUCAACAUGCAAGCUGCUCCUUCUCAAGCUGAGCUGCUUUUCAAGAAUUACAAAGCAGCAAAGGAAAAACUGAAGAAACAGAUGAAAGAAACCAUUGUGGAGAAAUAUGGAAACGCUGCAUCUGAGGAAGAAAUCCCAAGGGAGAUUUUACUAGGAAAAAGCGAGAGAGAAGUCGAAUAUGACCGUUGUGGAAGAGUUAUCAAAGGAAUGGAAUCAUCGGUACCUAAAAGCAAAUAUGAGGAAGAUGUUUACAUAAACAACCAUACAAGUGUAUGGGGUUCGUGGUGGAGAGAUCACCAAUGGGGAUAUAAAUGUUGUCAGCAAACAAUCAAAAACAGCUAUUGCACUGGAGUUGCAGGAAUCGAGGCGGCUAAGGAAACUGCAGAUCUGAUGAAAAUCAAUAUCGAAAGGGAGUUGCAGGAAUCGAGGCGGCUAAGGAAACUGCAGAUCUGAUGAAAAUCAAUAUCGAAAGAAAAGCAAACUCUUAUGAGAUGUCCGGUCCAGUAACAGAGAAAAGACUCGCGACUUGGGGAAGUGAAACGCAAGAAGGUCUGGUUCUUGACCAGAACAAACUCGCGGAAGCUCUAAAGAAGGAGGAUGAGAGAAAUAGAGAGGAGAAAGAUGAAAGAAAACGCAAAUACAACGUCCAAUGGAAUGAUCAGGUUACACCUGAAGAGAUGGAAGCAUAUAGAAUGAAAAGAAUGCAUCAGGAUGAUCCCAUGAAGAAUCUUUUACACGAAAGUGACUUUGUUUUAUAGUUUGUAGUUACAAAAAUUUGUGACAGCAAAAACCGAAUUGGUUUGUUAUAAAUAACCGAAUAUUACCCUUAA